rnacentral:rRNA from 1 species
CGAGUGGCGAACGGGUGAGUAACACGUCGGUGACCUAACCUGGAGAGGGGGAUAACGGCUGGAAACGGCUGCUAAUACCCCGUACGCUGGUUGCGAGAGUGAUCAGGGAAGGCGGAAGUCGCUCCAGGGGGGGCCGGCGGCCUAUCAGGUAGUUGGUGAGGUAACGGCUCACCAAGCCGACGACGGGUAGGGGGCGUGAGAGCGUGACCCCCCACACGGGCACUGAGACACGGGCCCGACUCCUACGGGAGGCAGCAGUGAGGGAUAUUGGGCAAUGGGCGCAAGCCUGACCCAGCGACGCCGCGUGGGCGAAGAAGGCCUUCGGGUCGUAAAGCCCUUUUCCACCUGACGAGGAAGGACGGUACGGUGGGACGAAGUCACGGCUAACUACGUGCCAGCAGCCGCGGUAAAACGUAGGUGGCGAGCGUUAUCCGGAAUCACUGGGCGUAAAGGGCAUCUAGGCGGCCUGGUCAAGUUGCGUGUGAAAGCCCUGCGCUCAACUGGGGGAGGACAUGCGAGACUGUCGGGCUGGAGGGUCAGAGAGGGACGCGGAAUCCCGGUGUAGUGGUGACAUGCGUAGAGAUCGGGAGGAACACCCGUGGCGAAGGCGGCGUCCUGGCUGACACCUGACGCUGAAGUGCGAAAGCGUGGGGAGCGAACGGGAUUAGAUACCCCGGUAGUCCACGCUGUAAACGAUGGUGACUAGGUGUGGGAGGCGAUAAAACCCUUCCGUGCCGCAGACAACGCGAUAAGUCACCCGCCUGGGGACUACGGCCGCAAGGCUAAACCUCAAAGGAAUUGCCGGGGGCCCGCACAAG